rnacentral:rRNA from 1 species
GGGCAGGGCGGAGACGGCGGCGCCGGUUCCGGGGGCAGCGGCGGCGGCGGCGACGGCGGGCACGGCCUGGCGGGCGCGGCGAACGAUCUGCGCCUGCGCGUAGGCGCGGACAGCAGCCUGCGCGGCGGCGAUGGCGGCGCCACGUGGCCGGUUACCCACAGGGCGGGCGCGGGCGGCGCCGGCGGGGCCGGCCUGUUCGUGUCGGCGUCGCGGUGGCAGGUGGAAACCGCGGGCCUGAUCCAGGGCGGCAACGGGGCCCGGGGCGAGGUCAGCCGGGAAUUCGACGGCGGCGAUGGCGGCGCGGGCGGCGCGGGCAUCGCGCUGGCCGGCGAUACGGGCCGGCUGGUCAACCGCGGCGAGAUCCGGGGUGGCUCGGGCGCGACGGGCGGCACGAGCGAGCGGGCCGCGCCCGGCGCGGCGGGCGCGGGCGGCGCCGGCGUGCGGAUCGCCGGCAACGGCAAUCGCCUGGUCAACGCCGGCCGCAUCGCCGGCGGCCUGUCCGCGGACGGCCAGCAGGCCGACGCGGUGCGUAUCGAUGGCGCGGGCAACACCUUCGAGCUGCGCGCGGGGUCCGUCCUGCAAGGCAAUGCCGUCGCCACGGGCGGCGCCAACGUGCUGGCCCUGGGGGGCGCGCAGCCGGGCGUCUUCGACGUGUCGGCGCUGGUGGCCGGCGCGCCGGCCGCGUGGAGCGGCGUGGCCCGGUAUGGCGGCUUCACGGCGUACGAGAAGACCGGCACGGGCUCCUGGCGCCUGACCGGCGGCAACGCGGCGGCCCUGUCCUGGACCGUACGCGCCGGACGCCUGGCCGUGGAUGCCGAGAUGGCGGGCUCGGCCAUGACGGUGGCCGCCGGCGGCACGCUGGGCGGCACCGGCACGGUGGGCGACACCACCGUCCGGGCCGGCGGCGCGCUGGCGCCGGGCAAUUCCAUCGGCACAUUGCGCGUGGCGGGCGACCUGGUGUUCGAGCCGGGUUCGCGCUUCGAGGUCGAAGCCGACCCGGCCGGCACGGCCAGCGAUCGCGUGACGGUCAGCGGCACGGCCGACAUCCGCGGCGGCACGGUCCUGCAUGUCGGGCCGGAAGGCGGGUUCGAGGCGCGCCAGCGCUACGUGAUCCUCACCGCGGGCCGGCGGCUCGGCCAGUUCGAUGCCGUCGGUUCGGGCUACGCCUAUCUCGCGCCGGCGCUGUCGUAUGACGCGACCAGCGUGGCGCUGACCCUGCAGCGCCGCGGCGCGCCAGGCAGCGGCGAACUGGCUUUCGCCGACCUGGCCGAUACGGCCAACCAGCGCGCCACCGCCCGCGCCGCCGAGACGCUGCCGGCUGCCCACCCGGUCUACCGCGCCAUAGAGACGCUGCCCGAAGGCGCGCCGCCGGCGGCCUUCGAUGCCUUGUCGGGCGAGGUGCACGCCAGCACGCGCAGCGCGCUGCUGACGGGCGCGCGCCAGGCGCAGCAGGUCAACCUGGGGCGUUUGCGCGACCACCUGGGCCUGGCCUGGCAGGCUGGCGCGCCGAUGGCGGCCAGCGGCAGCGCGCCCGGCGCGGCGGCGCUGCCGGGCGCGCUGUCGCCGGCCUGGGCCGAGGUGGUCGGCGCCUGGCAACGCCUGGACGGCGACGGCAACGCGGCGCAGGUGCGCCAGCAUGUCGGCGGGCUGUUCGUCGGCGCCGACACCGCGCUGGCCAACGGCUGGCGCGUGGGCGGUUCGCUGGGCUUUACCGAUGGCCGGAUCGAGGUCGACGCACGCGCCUCGCAAACCGACGUCGCCAGCUACACCGCCGCGCUCUAUGGCGGCCGCGCCUGGGAUACGGGCGCCGGACGCCUGAACCUGCUGGCUGGCGCCGCCUAUACCUGGCACGACAUCGCCAGCGAGCGCCGCGUCGACGUGGGCGACCUGCGGCAGGAACUGACGGCGGACUACGGCGCCAGCACCACGCAGCUGUUCACCGAACUGAGCUACGCCAUGCCGCUGGGCAUGACAGCCGAACUGGAGCCAUUCGCGGGGCUGGCCUGGAACCAGUUGCGCGUGCGCGGCUUCACCGAGACGGGCGGCAGCGCCGCGUUGAGCGGCGCAAGCAGCCGCGACGACAUGGCCACCACGACUCUCGGGGCGCGCGUGGCGGUGCCGCUCGGCGCCGGUGCCACGCUGCGGGCGAUGGCCGGCUGGCGGCAUGCCUUCGGCGAUCGCACGCCGCAAAGCACGCUGGCCUUCGGCCAGGGCAGCGCCUUCGAGGUGGCCGGCGCGCCGAUCGCGCGCGAUGCGGCCUUGCUGGGCGUGGGCG